rfam:Camponotus floridanus CamFlo_1.0_2.contig2999, whole genome shotgun sequence.
CCAACGGCCCUUUUCAGGGCCAUGUACAUAGACGUGUAAAAUAAA